GAUGAACGCUGACAGAAUGCUUAACACAUGCAAGUCUACUUGAAUUUGGGUUUUUUAACUUAGAUUUGGGUGGCGGACGGGUGAGUAACGCGUAAAGAACUUGCCUCACAGUUAGGGACAACAUUUGGAAACGAAUGCUAAUACCUGAUAUUAUGAAUAUAUGGCAUCAUAUAAUUAUGAAAGCUAUAAGCGCUGUGAGAGAGCUUUGCGUCCCAUUAGCUAGUUGGAGAGGUAACGGCUCACCAAGGCGAUGAUGGGUAGCCGGCCUGAGAGGGUGAACGGCCACAAGGGGACUGAGACACGGCCCGUACUCCUACGGGAGGCAGCAGUGGGGAAUAUUGGACAAUGGACCAAGAGUCUGAUCCAGCAAUUCUGUGUGCACGAUGACGUUUUUCGGAAUGUAAAGUGCUUUCAGUUGGGAAGAAAAAAAUGACGGUACCAACAGAAGAAGUGACGGCUAAAUACGUG
rnacentral:rRNA from 1 species